GACGAACGCUGGCGGCGUGCUUAACACAUGCAAGUCGAGCGGAGCGGCGAACGGGUGAGUAACGCGUGAGUAACUGCCCCCCUCUCUGGGAUAACAGUUGGAAACGGCCGCUAAUACCGGAUAGUGUGGGUUGGGCCGCGGCCUAUCAGCUUGUUGGUGGGGUAAUGGCCUACCAAGGCGGCGACGGGUUGCCGGCCUGAGAGGGUGGACUGCCACAGUGGGCUGAGACACGGACCAGACUCCUACGGGAGGCAGCAGGGGGGAAUAUUGCACAAUGAGCGGAAGCCUCAUGCAGCGACGCCGCGUGGGGGAUGACGGCCUUCGGGUUGUAAACUCCUUUCACCAUCGACGCGGUAGAUGGAGAAGAAGCACCUGCUAACUACGUGCCAGCAGCCGCGGUAAUUC
rnacentral:rRNA from 1 species